CCUACGGGUGGCAGCAGUCGAGAAUCAUUCACAAUGGGGGAAACCCUGAUGGUGCGACGCCGCGUGCGGGAAUGAAGGUCUUCGGAUUGUAAACCCCUGUCAUGUGGGAGUAAAUUAAAAAGAUAGUACCACAAGAGGAAGAGACGGCGAACUCUGUGCCAGCAGCCGCGGUAAUACAGAGGUCUCAAGCGUUGUGCGGAAGCACUGGGCGUAAAGGGUGCGUAGGCUGUUGCGGAAGGCGGGUGUGAAAGGGGCGGGCUCAACCCGCGGACCGCACCUGAUACUGCGAGGCUAGAGUAAAGGAGGGGGAGGCGGAAUGCUUGGUGUAGCAGUGAAAUGCGUAGAUAUC
rnacentral:rRNA from 1 species